UGCCAGACUCCUACGGGAGGCAGCAGUGAGGAAUAUUGGUCAAUGGGCUUACGCCUGAACCAGCCAAGUCGCGUGAGGGAAGACUGCCCUAUGGGUUGUAAACCUCUUUUGUCAGGGAGCAACGCCGGCUACGUGUAGCCGGACUGAGAGUACCCGAAGAAAAAGCAUCGGCUAACUCCGUGCCAGCAGCCGCGGUAAUACGGAGGAUGCGAGCGUUAUCCGGAUUUAUUGGGUUUAAAGGGUGCGUAGGCGGGUUAUCAAGUCAGCGGUAAAAUCGUGGAGCUCAACUCCAGCCAGCCGUUGAAACUGAUGAUCUUGAGUGGGCGAGAAGUAUGCGGAAUGCGUGGUGUAGCGGUGAAAUGCAUAGAUAUCACGCAGAACUCCGAUUGCGAAGGCAGCAUACCGGCGCCCGACUGACGCUGAA
rnacentral:rRNA from 1 species